UAAUACGUAGGGGGCCAGCGUUGUUCGGAAUUACUGGGUGUAAAGGGUUCGUAGGCGGUGCGGCAAGUUGGGAGUGAAAUCUCUGGGCUCAACCCAGAGACGGCUUCCAAAACUGCUGUGCUUGAGUGUGAGAGAGGCUCGUGGAAUUGCAGGUGUAGCGGUGAAAUGCGUAGAUAUCUGCAGGAACACCCGUGGCGAAAGCGGCGAGCUGGAUCACUACUGACGCUGAAGAACGAAAGCUAGGGGAGCAAACAGGAUUAGAUACCCCGGUAGUCCUGGCCCUAAACGAUGUCGACUAGAUCGUAGUGCCUCUGACGGUAUUACGGUCGAAGCAAAAGUGCUAAGUCGACCGCCUGGGAAGUACGGUCGCAAGGCUA
rnacentral:rRNA from 1 species